UCGGGGUGUAGCUCAGGUGGCUAGAGCGCUUGCUUUGGGAGCAAGAGGCCGUGGGUUCAAAUCCCCCCACCCCGAU
rnacentral:tRNA from 1 species